rnacentral:sRNA from 1 species
UAAUAGCCCUGAUGGAAGCGGCAUCCUUUUUUUGGCUUUUUCAGCCAAAAAAAGAUAUAGCGGACAGCAGGAUUAAGC